rnacentral:rRNA from 1 species
UGCCAGCCGCCGCGGUAAGACAGAGGGUGCAAACGUUGCUCGGAAUUACUGGGCGUAAAGCGCGUGUAGGCGGGCUGGAAAGUCAGAUGUGAAAUCCCUGGGCUCAACCCAGGAACUGCAUUUGAAACUUCCAGCCUUGAGUACUGGAGAGGAAAGCGGAAUUCCUGGUGUAGAGGUGAAAUUCGUAGAUAUCAGGAGGAACACCGGUGGCGAAGGCGGCUUUCUGGACAGUUACUGACGCUGAGACGCGAAAGCGUGGGGAGCAAACAGGAUUAGAUA